ensembl:lncRNA
AUGUUACUGAACUCUCCCCGUAUCCUGAUGGUCCUACUGCAGAACCUCCAGAGGCGGCGGCAUCCACUGCAGAACCCCCAGAGGUGUCAGUGGUAUCAACUUGUGAACUCUCGCCCUGUCCUGUUCUGGCCAAGGAGGCCAUCUAUGAACUUUCUGCCUGUCCCAUCACGGGUAUGGAGGCCAUUUGUGAACCCUCUCCCUGUCCUGUUCCGGCCAAGGAGGCAGUCUGUGAACUCUCUGCCUGUUCUGUUCUGGCCAAGGAGACAUUUUUCCAAAUCCCCAGCAAACCCGGCAGCAGAGGCUGUCUGUGAACUUUCGUCCAGUCCUGUAACGGCUAUGGAGGCUGUCUGUGAACUCACUUCCUGUCCAGUCAUGGCUAUGGAGGCCUUCACUGAACACUCUGCCUAUCCUGUCAUGGCUACAGAGGUCGCUUAUGAACUCAUGUCCUGUUUUGUACCAGCCAUGGAGGCUGAGUCGGAACUGUCUGUUUGUUUAAAUGCUGCCGUUGAAUCUGAUUCUGGACUAUCUGUCUGUCCAGUUUCUAUUAAUGGGUCUGAGUGUGAAUUGUCUGCCAGUCUAGUCCCAGUCACUGAACUGUGUGUUCAUGCAGUUUCAAUCAUUGCUUUUGAUUGUGAAUUACCUGCCCAUCCAGUUUCAAAUAAUGUGUCUGUUAUUGAAUUGUCCAUCUAUCCCAUUUCCCCUAAUGAGUCUAAAGUUGAACCAUUUGUCUGCUCCAUUAGGCCAGUUGUGAGCCCAGAAACUGCAGAUGCACUCCAUGUCUGUCCCGUUACCCCUGCCAGUGCCAAAGAAGCCAUUCAUGAACUGUCUGCUUGCACUGUUUCCCCAAAUUUCUCUGAACCAUCUGUCUUACCAGUCCUAGUUAGGGAGUCUGUUUAUGAAUUGUCUUCCUGUCCAGUCAAUGAGUUAAAUUAUGAACUGUCUGCCUGCUCAAUUGCCACCAGGGAAAAUAUUGAUGGACUUCUUGUGUUCCCUGCCUCAGUUCUUGAGACCGUAUAUGUUCUCUCUGUUUCUUGUACCUCAGUUCUCCCUAGAUCCCAGUCGCUGCCUUGGGUAUCUGCUGCUCCCAGGUGGGCAUCUGCUCUGUCUGCUCCAGCCUGGUGGUCUUCUGCUCCUCCUUGGUGGUCUUCUGCUCUGUCUGCUCUGGCCUGGUGGUCUUCUGUCUGGCUCUGA